rnacentral:lncRNA from 1 species
CCCCCCCCCCCCCCCACCCCCCCACACACACACAAACACUUCAACUGUUACAAGUAACAGUAAGCAGCAUCACCUUGUCACACUAGAAGCUUAUUGGGUAGCUCCUUUAAGUAUUAUAGCGAAUAGUUGCUGAACUUGUUCUCUAGCAAGGCCGUUGAAACUUGAUGAUUUAUCUUUUAUUUUUGCAAUUAUUGUCUUAAAUGUACUUUUCUUAAGUAAAACUAGAAAUUUGUCAUCUGUUAUUAUCAGCUUUAACUUAUGCAGUAUACAUGUAGAAGUGCAGGCUUCUCCCUCCCAUGUUCUUGGUCUGUUAUGGCAGUUAAUUUUUGUUGAUUAAUAAAGUGAAGUACGAUUGAUUGUUCAGAACAUGAGCUUGGUCUGAUUUCCUUCUCAACAAUAAGGUUGUUUUACGUUUUUUGUUUCUUUCCGUUUCAUUUCAGUAAAGCUUGAUUUGACUCUAAAACAGCAAUAUCCAUUUUGCUGAUGCGUUUUGCCCCUAGAAGUUUGUGCUACUGGAUUGGCUAAAGAAUUUGAGUGUUUACCUUUUACCUGUCUUAUAUUUUCAGGUUAUUAAAUUGUUUGAUAAAGGGCAAGUGAAGCUAGUAAAAUAUAACAGUCUAAUCAGCUUCAUGCAUUCAUGUCUAAUAGUGGAAUCCUCAGCUAAUUGUGGGCUAAACUUUAGAAAUCAAAUUGCUAUAAUGUUUUUCGAAUCCUCAAGUCAUUAUUAUGUCACUGCAGUGAUUUUUUUUUUUAAAAAAAAAUGAACAAAAAGAGUUCAACUAUUACAUAAAAUCAUGUAUAGAUGAAUUAUAGUAUGAGGUUAAUCUUUUUCUUUUUUUGAACUCUCAGAGAAAUUGACAUCUGUUAUACUUCUACUGUUAUUUUGUUUCGUACCAUCAUGAAAAUCGACAUUCAUUUGUUUGUUCAGCUCUAAACGGCACACCAUUCAAAUUGACAAAUACCUCAAUGAUAAGUUUGCAAAUUUCAAAACGAUAAUUCAAUUGGUGAGGUUAGUAUUUUUAUACAGUAAAAAAAAUCCAUGUUGAAUAAUGUAAAAAUCUUUCUUGUGAAAAGGACUAUAGGAAAUGACAAUCAACCAAUAGCAGUUCCUAGACAAGAAAGGCUCUUGACUUUAUGUGAAUAUGAAAGCCAAUAUAAUUAAUUUUUUGUUUGAAUUCUUCUUGCUCAAAAUGUCAUGCAAAAUGCGACUAAAUUAGUUUAAAAGUCACAUCAAUAGUUCUAAUUAGUGACAUUUGAUACUGGAAUAAACCCCCAAUAUGCUUUGUCAAAUAAUGUUCUUCAAAUUAAGGGAAAAGAAGAAAAUAACCAUUCCAAUUGUGGUAAGGGGUUAUGUGGUGUGUCCUUCUCUUUCCAUGCAUAAAUAAUGAGUAUGAUGAUCAAACAAUUUUGUCUGUAUCCUCCAAAGUCACCAUCCAUAAAAUUGUCUCCUUUUACUCUUUUUGUACUUUUGUCCUUUGGGAUGAAAAGACUACGUGAAAAAAAUUACUUAAUAAAUUUACGACCAUUUGAUUUGGAAAUUCUUCGAUCAGGUCGCAAACUAAUAUAUAAAUUGUUUUAGGUGAGCUUGUUGUGACUUGUGACAGACUAAGAAGGUGUUGAGAGAAAAUUGAUCCUUAAACUCCCUUAUGGAAUAACACAUAUUGCACCAAUUCAGUUAUCCUUACGGUUGUUGCUUACUUUUAGUAAAAAAAAAUAAUUAUUACAUCCUUAAAAAAAUGAAUUGUUAUUAAAUAUUACGAAAUGUUAUUCAAAUUAUCUAACCAAGAGUUGUUAAUUUUGGAAUUUUCAGCGUAUAAAUAAAGAUAUUUAGUUUUAAAAAGAUUACGGAUUAAUUUCCUAAAAAUAAAAAGAAAAUUAAUUACCCCUCAAAGGUUUUAUUUUAGAGUAAAUAAACCCAAAGGAUNNNNNNNNNNNNNNNNNNNNNNNNNNNNNNNNNNNNNNNNNNNNNNNNNNNNNNNNNNNNNNNNNNNNNNNNNNNNNNNNNNNNNNNNNNNNNNNNNNNNUUGCUGAACUUGUUCUCUAGCAAGGCCGUUGAAACUUUUUCUUUUUUGAAUUAUAGUAUGAGGUUAAUCUUUUUCUUUUUUGAACUCUCAGAGAAAUUUGACAUCUGUUAUACUUCUACUGUAAUUUUGUUUCGUACCAUCAUGAAAAUCGACAUUCAUUUGUUUGUUCAGCUAUAAACGGCACACCAUUCAAAUUGACAAAUACCUCAAUGAUAAGUUUGCAAAUUUCAAAACGAUAAUUCAAUUGGUGAGGUUAGUAUUUUAUACAAGUAAAAAAAAUCCAUGUUGAAUAAUGUAAAAAUCUUUCUUGUGAAAAGGACUACAGAAAAUGACAAUCAACCAAUAGCAGUUCCUAGACAAGAAAGGCUCUUCACUUUAUGUGAAUAUGAAAACCAAUAUAAUUAAUCUUUUGUUUGAAUUCUUCUUGCUCAAAAUGUCAUGCAAAAUGCGACUAAAUUAGUUUAAAAGUCACAUCAAUAGUUCUAAUUAGUGACAUUUGAUACUGGAAUAAACCCCCAAUAUGCUUUGUCAAAUAAUGUUCUUCAAAUUAAGGGAAAAGAAGAAAAUAACCAUUCCAAUUGUGGUAAGGGUAACAUGUGGUGGUGUCCUUCUCUUUCCAUGCAUAAAUAAUGAGUAUGAUGAUCAAACAAUUUUGUCUGUAUCCUCCAAAGUCACCAUCCAUAAAAUUGUCUCCUUUUACUCUUUUUGUACUUUUGUCCUUUGGGAUGAAAAGACUACGUGAAAAAAAUUACUUAAUAAAUUUACUACCAUUUGAUUUGGAAAUCCUUCGAUCAGGUCGCAAACUAAUAUAUAAAUUGUUUUAGGUGAGCCUGUUGUGACAAGCUUGACUAAGAAGGUGUUGAGAGAAAAUUGAUCCUUAAACUCCCUUAUGGAAUAACACAUAUUGCACCAAUUCAGUUAUUCUUACGAUUGUUGCUUACUUUUAGUAAAAAAAGAUAAUUAUUACAUCCUUAAAAAAAUGAAUUGUUAUUAAAUAUUAUGAAAUGUUAUUCAAAUUAUCUAACCAAGAGUUGUUAAUUUUGGAAUUUUCAGCAUAUAAAUAAAGAUAUUUAGUUUUAAAAAGAUUACGGAUUAAUUUCCUAAAAAUAAAAAGAAAAUUAAUUACUUCCAAAGGUUUUAUUUUAGAGUAAAUAAACCCAAAGGAUUAAUCUUGUACAAAUAGGUCAAAUCAUAUUCUCUCAUCUUAAAAACUUUUAUAAUAUUUUGAAUUUUCUUGUUUUCACUAUAAUAAUAAUAAUACUAUUUCCUAUUUCAUUCUUUAACAUUUUAAGCAAUUUAUUCAAAUGGUGAAAUCAAGAACCGUGUACUGAAUCAACUAACGGUCACGAUGAUCCGGUUUAUUUUUCGGCUCAUUAUUACACGUCAUUCGAAAAGACAGACCUUAUCGAAAACAAGAAGAGUUAAAAAGUCGAAAAUAACCCCCUUUCUUCAUUCUCCACGUUAGCUGUUACUAGUUGUACCUUACCUCCAGUACAGUCACGUAUCCUGCGCAUAAUAGCUGCAGUCAAUACACACACAGACUGAUAUAAGAAAUACAAUAAACCACUCAAGAAAGAAAGAGACUCACUCACACACAUUUGUUUCUCUGCCAUUUUUGGUAAUUGAAAGGCUUUCAUCAAUGGCAGUUGACUAGGGUUUUUCUGAACUUUUUCUUUAAUUUAUGCCAUUCAAUUGCAUUCAAAAGAAGUUACAAAAUCUCAAACUAUAGUUUUGCUUGUUUCUUUUUUUCCUGGAAAAUACACCGCGACAUUGUUCUUAUUCUUGGUUGUGUUGUAGAGAGAAAGAGAAAUCACGGUAAACCGACAGAACUCUGUUUCUUGCUUUCUUGUUUUUUCGUUUCUUUCAUAGUAGAGUGCUCUAUGAAACAGUGCAACUUUGGUAUUUACAGAAAUUUUAGUUGCAGUGAAAGUGGUGAUUCUUUUACUGCUUGUUGAUUAGACGAGAAUUCUUAAUCGGUGAGUCAUGAUUAGUUUGAUCAAUGUCAUUUGUUUUUUUACUUUUUAAAGAAAUUUCUUCUUUUUUUGUUUGAUUGGUUAAUGGUUAGCUGAAGUGUGUAGAGAUUUUCAUUUGAACUAUUUCACAUUUGUGUAUAAAAUUAUUAAGCUUGCUUCAAUGCUUGAUAAGUAUGGGCGGAUGAGUUUUACCAGGACAGAUGUUGUUAACUCAGUUUAGUUCUUGGUGUUUUCUUUAAAUCCUAGUUUGGAUCCUUAGAAGUCAGAAGAAAAGAAAAAAAAAAUCGGAAUCAUGGUUUCCGUGGUUUAGAUGAUUUGGGGGAAAAAAAUAGGGAAAGCGCCUCCUUGAACCAGUUCUGGAAAAUGAGCUUAUCUUGCCACACACACAAACACAACCCCCCCCCCCCCCCCACCCCCCCACACACACACAAACACUUCAACUGUUACAAGUAACAGUAAGCAGCAUCACCUUGUCACACUAGAAGCUUAUUGGGUAGCUCCUUUAAGUAUUAUAGCGAAUAGUUGCUGAACUUGUUCUCUAGCAAGGCCGUUGAAACUUGAUGAUUUAUCUUUUAUUUUUGCAAUUAUUGUCUUAAAUGUACUUUUCUUAAGUAAAACUAGAAAUUUGUCAUCUGUUAUUAUCAGCUUUAACUUAUGCAGUAUACAUGUAGAAGUGCAGGCUUCUCCCUCCCAUGUUCUUGGUCUGUUAUGGCAGUUAAUUUUUGUUGAUUAAUAAAGUGAAGUACGAUUGAUUGUUCAGAACAUGAGCUUGGUCUGAUUUCCUUCUCAACAAUAAGGUUGUUUUACGUUUUUUGUUUCUUUCCGUUUCAUUUCAGUAAAGCUUGAUUUGACUCUAAAACAGCAAUAUCCAUUUUGCUGAUGCGUUUUGCCCCUAGAAGUUUGUGCUACUGGAUUGGCUAAAGAAUUUGAGUGUUUACCUUUUACCUGUCUUAUAUUUUCAGGUUAUUAAAUUGUUUGAUAAAGGGCAAGUGAAGCUAGUAAAAUAUAACAGUCUAAUCAGCUUCAUGCAUUCAUGUCUAAUAGUGGAAUCCUCAGCUAAUUGUGGGCUAAACUUUAGAAAUCAAAUUGCUAUAAUGUUUUUCGAAUCCUCAAGUCAUUAUUAUGUCACUGCAGUGAUUUUUUUUUUUAAAAAAAAAUGAACAAAAAGAGUUCAACUAUUACAUAAAAUCAUGUAUAGAUGAAUUAUAGUAUGAGGUUAAUCUUUUUCUUUUUUGAACUCUCAGAGAAAUUGACAUCUGUUAUACUUCUACUGUUAUUUUGUUUCGUAC